UACGUAGGGUGCAAGCGUUGUCCGGAAUUAUUGGGCGUAAAGAGCUCGUAGGCGGUUUGUUGCGUCGGCUGUGAAAUCCCGAGGCUCAACCUCGGGUCUGCAGUCGAUACGAGCAAACUAGAGUGUUGCAGGGGAGACUGGAAUUCCUGGUGUAGCGGUGAAAUGCGCAGAUAUCAGGAGGAACACCGGUGGCGAAGGCGGCUUUCUGGGCCUUACCUGACGCUGGAGGAGCGAAAAGCGUGGGGAGCGAACAGG
rnacentral:rRNA from 1 species